rnacentral:rRNA from 1 species
GUGUUCUCUAUGCGUAUAUUCGUAACAUCGUAUACGCAACGUCUGAACAUUGUCCACUGGGGUAAAAUCAUGUAUCUAACCUUGGCCGGUGUUGAGGUUCAUUUCGGGGUACAUCGGAGAACAGAUCGGGUCGGGUUCAACCGAAAUUCCUAUUAGAAUCCAGCAAGGGUCAGGGGUCGGAGGGGACAAGGAGAGGAUUGGAGGGUGCGGCCGGCGGCGGGGAGCAGUCAACGGCGUGUACUCGUGAGGGGACGCUAGGAGAGAGGGCCGCACGGCAGGGAGUGGUGAGGGGACUCUUGGAGACAGGUCCGCGCGGCGGGGAGUUGUGAGGGGACGCUUGGAGGUAGGUCCGCGCGGCAGGGAGUAGAGGUGAGGGGCCGCUGGGACGUAGGGCCGUGCGGUAGGGAGCAGUGACGAGGGGACGUGCGCUGGUUGCCACUUAGGUUCCACCGAAUAUGUCGCAGUCACCUAUACCACAGUUGUUCUCCAAAUAACACAACAAACCGUCAUCCAAAAUAACAACAGGCACAAGGACGAGAAGCUAAGUUUGUUAGAAGAGCUAAUAACCUACUGAGUUCUUAACUCAGGACCAACGUGAAUACUACACCCGACUAUACCAACACACACAUCGGGACUGGUUUGAGACCGGGGAGGUUUCAAUCCACGUCCUCAAGUCCAAGUAAGAAGUAGUCAAAAUUACGGUUCCUAAGUAUAAACCUACUAUGAAGGACUAGUUGCCUAAAUACAGCUAUAACAAAAAAUUCUACCUCGAUGUAUUAACAAGCAACCACUAGCUGGAGUUAUUAGACCGCAAAGGUUAUACAACCACAAACUAGCUCAUAAGAACUUUUUCGGACCUUUUCGUAUUGCCUCUGUAUAGAGAACGAUGUCAACAUUCAACACAAGAAUUUAAAUUUGAACUACCACAACUUGAAUGUUUACUUAAGACCCUUCACGUACAGCUAUACCGUGAACACUUCUGAACGGUAAACCAUGCCUCAACGUUUGACGUAAUGAGAGCCAUUACGUCUGUUUUGUUUCUAACGUACCGGAAGUUGGAAAUAAGUUUUCUAUUUACCUACUAAUAUACCCACGGACCGUUCAUAUGACGUUACUUCUACUACUACAAGGACUAGUACUACUCUUCUACCUACGAAUCUCAAAAUCAAUUCAACAUCCCUGCUACAAGAAGCCAAUACAAAAUCAAUUCAACAUGCCUACAACUACCUACGAAAGUCAAAUUGAAAACGACAGUCCUUUUAUCAACCUAAUACGUAGUGUAGAGCUACUACAAGGAGGACAUUAUAGGUGAUAACAUUAGGUUGUAUAAAUAGAUUAUAUACUAAACAAGGAGGGUACUCAUAUAAUACAAUAAAAACAG